rnacentral:rRNA from 1 species
UACGGAGGGUGCGAGCGUUAAUCGGAAUUACUGGGCGUAAAGCGCACGUAGGCGGUUCGUUAAGUCGGAUGUGAAAUCCCCGGGCUUAACCUGGGAAUUGCAUCCGAUACUGGCGGGCUAGAGUGUGGUAGAGGGUAGCGGAAUUCCCGGUGUAGCGGUGAAAUGCGUAGAUAUCGGGAGGAACAUCAGUGGCGAAGGCGGCUACCUGGACCAACACUGACGCUGAGGUGCGAAAGCGUGGGGAGCAAACAGG